AGAGUUUGAUCAUGGCUCAGAAUCAACGCUGGCGGCGUGCCUAACACAUGCAAGUCGAACGCGAAAGGGGCUUCGGCCCUGAGUAGAGUGGCGAACGGGUGAGUAACACGUGGGUGAUCUACCUCUGAGUGGGGGAUAACGUCCCGAAAGGGACGCUAAUACCGCAUGACGUCCUGGGUUUGAAUACCUGGAAACCAAAGUCGGGGACCGCAAGGCCUGACGCUUGGAGAGGAGCCCGCGCCUGAUUAGCUAGUUGGCGGGGUAAUGGCCCACCAAGGCAACGAUCAGUAGCCGGCCUGAGAGGGCGGACGGCCACACUGGGACUGAGACACGGCCCAGACUCCUACGGGAGGCAGCAGUGGGGAAUAUUGCACAAUGGGCGCAAGCCUGAUGCAGCGACGCCGCGUGAGGGAUGACGGCCUUCGGGUUGUAAACCUCUUUCAGCAGGGAAGAAGCGCAAGUGACGGUACCUGCAGAAGAAGCACCGGCUAACUACGUGCCAGCAGCCGCGGUAAUAC
rnacentral:rRNA from 1 species